AUUGAACGCUGGCGGCAGGCCUAACACAUGCAAGUCGAACGAGUGGCGGACGGGUGAGUAAUGUCUGGGAAACUGCCUGAUGGAGGGGGAUAACUACUGGAAACGGUAGCUAAUACCGCAUACCAUCGGAUGUGCCCAGAUGGGAUGAGCUAGUCGGGGGGGUAACGGCUCACCUAGGCGCCGAUCCCUAGCUGGUCUGAGAGGAUGACCAGCCAACAUGGGACGGAGACACGGUCCAGACUCCUACGGGAGGCAGCAGUGGGGAAUAUUGGACAAUGGGCGAAAGCCUGAUGCAGCCAUGCCGCGUGUAUGAAGAAGGCCUUCGGGUUGUAAAGUACUUUCAGCGGGGAAGCGUUACCCGCAGAAGAAGCACCGGCUAACUCCGUGCCAGCAGCCGCGGUAAUAC
rnacentral:rRNA from 1 species